AUUGAACGCUGGCGGCAGGCCUAACACAUGCAAGUCGAGCGAGCGGCGGACGGGUGAGUAAUGUCUGGGAAACUGCCUGAUGGAGGGGGAUAACUACUGGAAAAGGUAGCUAAUACCGCAUACCAUCAGAUGUGCCCAGAUGGGAUUAGCUAGUAGGUGGGGUAAUGGCUCCCCUAGGCGACGAUCCCUCGCUGGUCUGAGCGGAUGACCAGCCACACUAGAACUGUGUCACGGUCCAGACUCCUGCGGGAGGCAGCAUGGGGGAAUAUUGCACAAUGGGCGCAAGCCUAAUGCAGCCAUGCCGCGUGUGUGAAGAAGGCCUUCGGGUUGUAAAGCACUUUCAGCGGGGAGGCGUUACCCGCAGAAAAAGCACCAGCUAACUCCGUGCCAGCAGCCGCGGUAAUUC
rnacentral:rRNA from 1 species